rnacentral:tRNA from 1 species
CCCAGCAGCUGAGAUGGUAAAGAAUCUGCUUGCAAUGCAGGAGACCUGGGUUCAAUUCCUGGGUUGGGA